UACGUAGGGUGCAAGCGUUGUCCGGAAUUAUUGGGCGUAAAGAGCUCGUAGGCGGUCUGUCACGUCGGCUGUGAAAACCCGGGGCUCAACCCCGGGCCUGCAGUCGAUACGGGCAGACUAGAGUGCGGUAGGGGAGACUGGAAUUCCUGGUGUAGCGGUGAAAUGCGCAGAUAUCAGGAGGAACACCGGUGGCGAAGGCGGGUCUCUGGGCCGAUACUGACGCUGAGGAGCGAAAGCGUGGGGAGCAAACAGG
rnacentral:rRNA from 1 species